AGCGAACGCUAGCGGCGGGCCUAACACAUGCAAGUCGAGCGGAGAACUUCGGUUCUUAGCGGCGGACGGGUGAGUAACGCGUAGGUAAUGUGCCUUCUGGUGGGGAACAACCGUGCGAAAGCAUAGCUAAUACCGCAUAUGUCGAGAGAUGAAAGCCUUCGGGCGCCAGUAGAGCAGCCUGCGUCCCAUUAUUUAGUCCUAGUUGGUGAGGUAACGGCUCACCAAGGGUACGAUGGGUAGCUGGUCUGAGAGGAUGAUCAGCCACACUGGAACUGAGACACGGUCCAGACUCCUACGGGAGGCAGCAGUGGGGAAUAUUGCGCAAUGGGCGAAAGCCUGACGCAGCCACGCCGCGUGAGUGAUGAAGGCCUUCGGUUGUAAAGCUCUGUCGGGAGGGAAGAAGGCGCAAGCCUGACGGUACCUCGCAAGAAAGCAACCGGCUAAACUCUGUGCCAGCAGCCGCGGUAAU
rnacentral:rRNA from 1 species